rnacentral:rRNA from 1 species
UACGGAGGGUGCGAGCGUUAUCCGGAAUUACUGGGUUUAAAGGGUGCGUAGGCGGCCAUGUAAGUCAGGAGUGAAAGUUUGCGGCUCAACCGUAAAAUUGCUUUUGAUACUGCAUGGCUGGAAUCAGGAUGAGGUCAGCGGAAUGUGGCAUGUAGCGGUGAAAUGCAUAGAUAUGCCAUAGAACACCAAGUGCGAAGGCAGCUGGCUAGACCUGUAUUGACGCUGAGGCACGAAAGCGUGGGGAGCGAACAGG